rnacentral:lncRNA from 1 species
GGGAUUUUAAUUGACUUGCUUCCACUUGUCCAAAUGGCUUGAAAUUUGGUGUGAUGAUCCUAUGACGAGUGCUGUUUAGCCAUGAUUUUUCCUGGGAUUUAUUGAAUUAUUUUGGAUUGAGUUUGGAUUGAUUCAUUCUGUUUGGUCCAAUGAGCUUUCAAAUUGCACACUUUGCUUUAGAUGCUUUGUGAAAUGAAAUUGAUUGAUGAUAUGAAUGUGAGACCAAUUGGAUAAUGUUUUAAUUUCAUUUAACUUGAUUUGUGCCAAUUUUCAUGUUCUUUUU